CCUACGGGUGGCAGCAGUGAGGAAUAUUGGUCAAUGGCCGAGAGGCUGAACCAGCCAAGUCGCGUGAGGGAAGACGGCCCUUCGGGUUGUAAACCUCUUUUGUCGGGGAGCAAAGCGAGUCACGUGUGACUCAUUGAGAGUACCCGACGAAAAAGCAUCGGCUAACGCCGUGCCAGCAGCCGCGGUCAUACGGAGGAUGCGAGCGUUAUCCGGAUUUAUUGGGUUUAAAGGGGGGGCAGUCGGAGGUGAAAGUCAGCGGUAAAAUUGCGGGGCUCAACCCCGUACUGCCGUUGAAACUGCAUCGCUUGAGUGAGGGAGAGGUAGGCGGAAUGCGUGGUGUAGCGGUGAAAUGCAUAGAUAUCACGCAGAACACCGAUUGCGAAGGCAGCAUACCGGCGAGCAACUGACGCUCAUGCACGAAAGCGUGGGUAUCGAACAGGAUUAGAUACCCGAGUAGUC
rnacentral:rRNA from 1 species